rnacentral:rRNA from 1 species
AUGAACGCUGGCGGCGUGCCUAAUACAUGCAAGUCGAGCGAACAGACGAGGAGCUUGCUCCUCUGACGUUAGCGGCGGACGGGUGAGUAACACGUGGAUAACCUACCUAUAAGACUGGGAUAACUUCGGGAAACCGGGGCUAAUACCGGAUAAUAUAUUGAACCGCAUGGUUCAAUAGUGAAAGACGGUUUUGCUGUCACUUAUAGAUGGAUCCGCGCCGCAUUAGCUAGUUGGUAAGGUAACGGCUUACCAAGGCAGCGAUGCGUAGCCGACCUGAGAGGGUGAUCGGCCACACUGGAACUGAGACACGGUCCAGACUCCUACGGGAGGCAGCAGUAGGGAAUCUUCCGCAAUGGGCGAAAGCUUGACGGAGCAACACCGCGUGAGUGAUGAAGGUCUUCGGAUCGUAAAACUCUGUUAUUAGGGAAGAACAAAUGUGUAAGUAACUAUGCACGUCUUGACGGUACCUAAUCAGAAAGCCACGGCUAACUACGUG